CAAAAAGUAGCUUAAACUAAAGCACCUGACUUACAAUUAUGAGACGCUAACAUCCUUAGCCUUUUUGA
rnacentral:tRNA from 1 species